CCUACGGGUGGCAGCAGUGGGGGAUAUUGCACAAUGGGGGGAACCCUGAUGCAGCGACGCCGCGUGGGUGAAGGAGUGCUUCGGCAUGUAAAGCCCUAUCGGCAGGGAAGAAGCAAGACGGUACCUGACUAAGAAGCCCCGGCUAACUACGUGCCAGCAGCCGCGGUAAUACGUAGGGGGCGAGCGUUAUCCGGAUUCACUGGGUGUAAAGGGAGCGUAGACGGCCAUGCAAGCCAGGGGUGAAAGCCCGGGGCCCAACCCCGGGACUGCCCUUGGAACUGUGCGGCUAGAGUGCGGGAGGGGCAGGCGGAAUUCCUGGGGGAGCGGGGAAAUGCGGAGAUAUCAGGAGGAACACCGGCGGCGAAGGAGGCCGGCUGGACCGCGACUGACGUUGAGGCUCGAAAGCGUGGGGAGCGAACAGGAUUAGAUACCCUUGUAGUC
rnacentral:rRNA from 1 species